GCUGUUUUCCCAGAUCUCCAUUCCCACGUGGCAACUUCCUGACACACAGUGACACUCCUGGCUUUCCAGUGGACCAUAUCACCGUCUUCUUGAUACUGGGUGCCUUCAUGCAGGAUGCUGUAUUCUCUGCUCCUUUGUGAGUGUCUGUGGCUAAUAACCGGUUAUGCUCAUGAUGAUGACUGGAUUGACCCCACAGACAUGCUUAACUAUGAUGCUGCUUCAGGAACAAUGAGAAAAUCUCAGGUAAAAUAUGGUGUAUCAGAGAAAAAAGAAGUCAGUCCCGACUUGUCACAUGCUGAUGAAUUGUUGGAAUGUUAUAGCAAACUUGAUUCUUUAACUCAUAAGAUUGAUGAGUGUGAGAAGAAGAAGAAGGAAGACUAUGAAAGUCAAAGCAAUCCUGUUUUUAGGAGAUACUUACAUAAGAUUUUGAUCGAAGCCAGAAAGCUUGGACUUCCUGAAGAAAACAAAGAUGAUAUGCAUUAUGAUGCUGAGAUUAUUCUAAAAAGACAAACCUUGUUAGAAAUACAGAAGUUUCUCAGUGGAGAGGAUUGGAAACCGGGAGCCUUGGAUGAUGCACUAAGUGAUAUUUUAAUUAAUUUUAAGUUUCAUGAUUUUGAAACAUGGAAGUGGCGAUUUGAAGACUCCUUUGGAGUGGAUCCAUAUAAUGUGUUGAUGGUGCUUCUCUGUCUGCUCUGUAUCGUGGGAUUAGUAGCUACCGAGCUGUGGACGUAUGUGCAUUGGUACACCCAGCUGAGACGUGUGUUAUUCAUCAGUUUCCUCGUCAGUUUGGGAUGGAAUUGGAUGUAUUUAUAUAAGCUCGCGUUCGCACAGCAUCAGGCCGAGGUUGCCAAGCUGGAGCCGUUAAACAAUGUGUGUGCCGAGAAGAUGGACUGGAUUGGAAGCCUCUGGGAAUUGUUAAGAAGCUCAUGGACCUAUAAGGAUGACCCAUGCCAAAAAUACUAUGAACUCUUAUUAGUCAACCCUAUUUGGUUGGUCCCGCCAACAAAGGCACUGGCAGUUACAUUCACCAACUUUGUCACAGAGCCAUUGAAAUACGUUGGGAAGGGAGCUGGUGAAUUUAUUAAAGAGUUCAUGAAGGAGAUUCCAGUAUUACUUCACAUUCCAGUGCUGAUCAUUAUGGCAUUAGCUGUCCUGAGUUUCUGCUAUGGUGCUGGAAAAUCAGUUAAUAUGCUGAGACAUAUAGGUGGUCCUGAGAGAGAACCACCCCGGGCCCUUAAGCCAGGUGAUAGAGGACGGCUGCAGGAAGUUGAUUAUAGACCCCAUGGUGGAGCAGGUGAUGCAGAUUUCCCUUAUAGAGGCCACUUCGGCCCCUUUGAGCAAGGCCCUUAUGACAGAACAUAUGAGGGUAGAAGAGAUGGUAUGAGAGAGAGAGAUGUUGACUUGAGGCCUAGGACUGGCAACAAGAGCCCCGAAGUGCUCCGGCCAUGUGAUGUACCCCAGGCAGAGGCGAGAGAGCAUCCCAAGGCCGUACCCUGUCAUAAAUUACCUAUUUUGGAUACAAAGCUCAAGGAAUUUGGUGGAAUCCAGGGAGAAAGCACACCGCCAGAAAGCAGUACUGACAGUAGCCAGUCUACUAGGCCUGUCUCUGGCCCAGACACAUCAGAGAAGGUGGAAGGUUCACCUGCAGAGGAAAAGGCCCAGCUCAGAACUGAUGCCAGAGGCAGCCCAGAGGAAGGCAGUGUGUCUUGCCCGGCCAGCUGUGGAAAGGAUCUGGAUACUGGCCCACGUGGCUAGAGGAGCACAGACUCGGCCCAUCACUCGGAGGUCAUCAUUGGGUUUUGUAAAGUAUACUCUUCACAACUAUUUGCUCUUCUCUACAAAUAUUCUGACAUUUACUACUCCACAGAUAUCCGUUUGGGGAUGCGGUCCACUUUGACAGCUAGCGAGGCAACAUACCACUGCUGUUGAAUGAUGACAGCAAUUUAGGGAAGACACUAAAGCAGACUGAACAGAUCAAGGCCAGUUUAUAACUUGGGGAAAUAGACUUGUUUCUUGUCCAGCCCAUAUCUGUCAUUAGAAUCAAGGAUUUUAGCAACAGGUUUUAAGAAAAUCAGAAUGGGGUUGACAGCUUUUUAAAAGCAGUGUUUAAAUGGAAUAGAUAAUGUUGAAUGUUUACAGGGUCUAAGAACUAUGGUAUAUGCAAAAUAAACACUUAUUUUUACAUUA